CCUACGGGUGGCAGCAGUAGGGAAUAUUGCUCAAUGGGCGAAACCCUGAAGCAGCAACGCCGCGUGGAGGAUGACGGUUCUCGGAUUGGUAACCCUCUUUGUUAGAGAAGCUAAUGACGGUAUUUAGCGAAUAAGCACCGGCUAACUCCGUGCCAGCAGCCGCUGUAAUACGGAGGGUGGCAGCGUUACUCGGAAUCAAUGGGCGUAAAUAGCGCGUAGGCGGGAUAGCAAGUUAGAUGUGAAAUCCUAGGGGUUAACCAUAGAACUGCAGUUGAAACUGUUAGUCUAGAGUGUGGGAGAGGUAGGUGGAAUGCGUGGUGUAGCGGUAAAAUGCGUAGAGAUCAAGAGGAAUACUGAUUGCGAAGGCGACCUGCUAGAACAUAACUGACGCUGAUGCGCGAAAGCGUGGGGAGCAAACAGGAUUAGAUACCCCGGUAGUC
rnacentral:rRNA from 1 species